AGAGUUUGAUUAUGGCUCAGAACGUACGCUGGCGGCACGCCUAACACAUGCAAGUCGAACGAAGUAGCAAUACUUAGUGGCAGACGGGUGAGUAACAUGUAGGUAUCUGCCCUUUGGCCUGGAAUAACACGAGGAAACUUGUGCUAAUACCGGAUAAGUCUUUACGGAGAAAGCUUUAUGCACCAUUGGAUGAGCCUGCACUUGAUUAGUUUGUUGGUGGGGUAAUGGCCUACCAAGACUGUGAUCAAUAGCUGAUUUGAGAGGAUGAUCAGCCACAUUGGGACUGAGACACGGCCCAAACUCCUACGGGAGGCAGCAGUGGGGAAUCUUGCACAAUGGAGGAAACUCUGAUGCAGCGAUGCCGCGUGAGUGAAGAAGGCCCUUGGGUUGUAAAGCUCUUUCGUCGGGGAAGAAAAUGACUGUACCCGAAUAAGAAGGUCCGGCUAACUUCGUGCCAGCAGCCGCGGUAAUACGAAGGGACCUAGCGUAGUUCGGAAUUACUGGGCUUAAAGAGUUCGUAGGUGGUUGAAAAAGUUAGUGGUGAAAUCCCAGAGCUUAACUCUGGAACUGCCAUUAAAACUUUUCAGCUAGAGUAUGAUAGAGGAAAGCAGAAUUUCUAGUGUAGAGGUGAAAUUCGUAGAUAUUAGAAAGAAUAUCAAUUGCGAAG
rnacentral:rRNA from 1 species